CUGUGAAAGCAUUGGGCGGCCACCCCCACUGGCCUGGGGCUUCAUCCCAAGUUACCUACAGUUCCGCACUCCCUUCGGAACCUGCUAGUGAUUACGACCGAAAGCGGAAAAGAAAUCCCGGUGGAGGCUCCGUUGGCUUCUCCAGGAAUGAUAAAGAUGCCUUCCCGGUGGGAAGAUCGGAACCCUCCCUUGCAAUCUGCUGAAGGCCAUGGUGAGCAUCCUUAUCCUUUUGGACAGACCAGGAAGGGCCCGGCCAUCCCCACUUCCAGGCUGGACUCCUCAGAGGUGCAGUUUGACACUCUCUGAAGCGGAUUCUAAGUUCCGAGUCGGCCGAGCCUGGGCAGUACUACACCGCGCGGUACAAGUGCAGCCUGGCACACUCGUUCCACACCCGGCUCCUCGCCAGCAAGCCCAUUCUCAGGCUCAAGAAGUAUGAUGAGCUUUCAAAAAGAAAAAGAGAUGGAAAUCACCAACUAUGCUGCCUACUGAAUGAAUAUUUCUUUGUAGCAUGUGCAGAGUCAAGGAAAAUUAUAUUCCUGCAUUGUAUAAUCUACCAACAGUCUACUUUCCUACUGUUUCAAUCUAGGAUAUUCUUUAAAAAGCAGAGCCUGAGACAUAGGUAAAGACAUUCUGUUUGGAAUUUGAUCCCAGGGAGAAGGAGUGAAAGAGAAAUGAAGAGGGAGAAAUGGAAAAGAUCAAAGCAAAACAAGGUAGUGUUUUCAAGUGGUACACUACUGUGAAUGGUUGCAUAAUAUAUAACCUUCUCAAGAAUCUUUGUUUCAGAGCUAUAUUCCUGAGGGAUGAAAGGGAGAAAUAUUUUUAUGUCAGCAGCCAUCUGCUUUGUGUUGACAGCUGCAGUGAGUCCCCGUCACAAGGUGCCUCUCUGGUAUAGGACAUCACACCUUGCUGCAACAGAGAAGCUUUGGGACAGGAGGCUUGAUUCUUCGUGCAUGCUUGACAUAUGGCACUGUCAGCAUGAAGCAGGGUAAAACUUCCUAGACUAUUCACCAGAGCUGCAGCUGGAAUCAGGUUAAAAGACUUGAGAGUACAGAAGAGGCAUUUUAUAAGCCUGCAUAACACACGGUUAGACCUGUCUAAAUUGGUUUCCUCCCUUUUUACUAUAAUCAUAAUAUCCAGAACAAGUUGAUAGAAGGGUUAAAUAGGAAGGUUAUAUGUUUAUACCAGUUUUAACCUCAAGUUUAACCUCAAGUUUAUAAGAAAGAGAAAGUGACAGUGGAACUUGGAAAACUGAAAAUGAUUCUACUUGAAAAAUUUUGACCAUUGGAAAGAGAUAUUAGAUACUGUCUAAACUUCUGUCAUAUCAGAAAUAGUCAUGAAUUGUUUCGAGAAAAAUGAAGAAUAAAAUUAACCAUUUCAUGUAUCUCCAUGAGCUUUAUAAAUCAAUGUUAUUAACUUUUCACAGGAUACUACUUUCUACAGUCAUACAACACUAGUAUUACAAAGCUUACAACUAAUGAAAAGAAACAGGCAGAAACAUAAGAAGAAAAAUAAUUGGGAUCACAUAUAGGGUUGUCAUUAAUGUUGGUUGGAUUCUGGGGAACUGCAUGAUUUCGCUUGGCUUUCUUCUGUGAGUAUUAUCUACUUUUAUUUCGUUUGGAAUUUUCAUUAAUAGAGUGUAGUAUUUGAGUUAUUCAACUCAAUAUGUGUCGAGCUCCUGUUUAUUAGCACUUUAAACAUGCGAACAAGACGUAGAGCAUUACAUCCCAAAACAUUAGAAUUUCUGUUUUGUUUUUUUUUUAAGGUAUACUUUAGAAUAUUUAUUUACCAACACUGACCAUAGGCUGGAUCACAAGUCUCAACAAACUUCAAAAGAUUGAAUCAUACUUAGUAUGAAUUAAACCAGAAGUUUAUUACAUAAAGAUAACAAAAAAAUUCCAGAUGUUUGUAAGUUAGGAGCAUAAGCCUAGUUACCAAUGGGUCAAACAGUAAAUCACAACAGAAUUUAGAAAAUAUUUCAAAAUGAGUUCUAAUGAAAAAACACCAUCAAAACCAAAUUCUAUGAAAGCAAAUGCUUACAGCUCUAAAUUCACACAUAAGAAAUUGUAUAAAAAUCUUGACUAUUGCUGUUUCAAAAAGCCAGAGCAGUGGGGAGCAAGUGAAGGGAGAGAAGUAGACAGACAUUGGACACCUGGUAGCAAAGGACUGAUAAUUCAGAGAACAACACAAGGCAAAACCUACAGUGGCUUUGAUUUUCUGCAGAUGAGCACUCUGGAGCAAUUCAGGAGAAGGAACAUAAGCAGAGCAUUCUUGCUGAGUUGAGAAAAAGAUGAGUUGAAACUGGAAUGGUUUGAAUUUUCAGGGUAGGGAUUAAGUGAAGCGGAAGGUAUGCAGAGAAAAAACUGCACAAAACAUACAUAGAGAUCCUCUUGUGCCCAUUGCUGAACAUUAAGCCUAACCAUACUCAAAGUUAACAUUAGACUUGGAAACAUUUAAUUUCCAUCUAGUUAUAGUGGAGAGUCCUCCCUGAGAACUCCAGGGAUUUGCCAAAGAUCCCUAAAAGGUUACACAUAAUAUAGAUAGGGCUAACUGUUUUGAAUAAAAACUGCCCCCUCCCCCCAAGAGCAAGUUGAAUAUUAUAAAACCAAUCUUCAAGUAACCACCUGCCUGAACAAAAUCCAAAUUUGUUAGUUGUAGUCCUGCAAGAAGCACAUAUAAAGAUAGAAUUUAAUUUCUAAAAGAUUUGUUUGGGGAAAUUCCUCUGAGGGUUGAAAUGGAGAAGAAUCCAGAAGAGGUAGAAUCUUCAGACCACAUAACUUGUCUGACCUCUGUGAAGGUGCAAGGUUUAACUUUAUGUGUGUCAACAUUAUUGGGUCACAGUAUUAGUAUGCCAAGAUAUCUGGUUAAACAUUAUUUCUGGGGUGUCCAUGAGGGUGUUUCUGGAAGAGAAUGGUAUUUGAACACAUUGAGUAAACAGACUAAUCCCAGGUAUGGGCAGGUAUCAUCCUAUCUGCUGAGGGCCCGAAUAAAACAAAAAGAUGAAGGAAACAUUUUUUCUUUGCCUAUUAGGGUAGGACUCCAUCUUCUGCUCUUGGGCUGGGACUGACAGCCUCAGUGCUCCUGGCUCUCAGCUCUUUAGAGGGCAGAUCAUGGCACUUAGCCUCCAAGAUUACAAGAGCCAGUUCUUUAUGAUAAAUAUCUAUAUUAGUGGGUGAAUGAUUGGAUAGAUACGGACAGAUCCUAUUGUUUGUUUUUCUGGAGAACCCUGGCUACUAUAGAAGGAAAAGGGAGGAAGGACCAUUAAAUAGUGGGACAUUAUGCUGCAGCACAAUUACAGUUUCAGGUCAGCUAAUGAAAAACACUGAAGCCAAAGUUUCUCAUUGGAGAACUAUUUUAGGGAUAAGCCUGCAUUAAUAUACCUGCUUUCUUAGUCAUUGUUCUGAUGUAGCCUUGGCAAGAAAAUAUCAGUGGGUUCAGAGAGCAGUAGGUGGGACACUCUUUCAUAUAAGCUCCCCUUAGCAAGAGAUCUGACUGGUAAAUUUUCAUGACUCAGUUUAUUCCUUAUUCUGUACAUCUUCAUUUGGGCCUGGCUGCCACUAAGAUGACUAGACACCAAUGUCAACUUGAACCCUAGGCCAAAUAAUCCUAGGAAUGUUUGGAUAUUCUCUUUUGCCAGUGUUAACAUAGUCACUUUAGCAAAUGACCAUGAAUUCAUAUGGGGAAGAACUUGAGGAUUCAUCACUAUACCCCUCCUACACACACACACACACACACCAUUUCUAACCAGGUCUUUUCCUUUUCCUUGUAGGAAACUAGUACCUCUUCCAUUUGUGGAUUCUUUAUCUGAAAAUUCCCUCAGGUUUUGGAACUGAACAAGGAAUCAUGAUAUUUAAUUGGGGUAGUAUCCUCAAACUCUUCCUUUUCCAUAUUCACCUUAUUUGGUUAUAGAUAUUUAGUUAUAAAUAUUAAGCAACAUCCUUGUUACUUGCUUGUGUGUUCUGCCUGUAGGGGUGAUACCUUCAAUUAAUCAUCUCACAAACAUGCUGUGAGUCAAGCCCACUUAACUACCCCUCCAAUUUCAUUAGUUGUUAGAUGAAUUAUGGCCUUUUUGCUUGUGGUAUUAAGUUCCAGUCUUUGGGGACCUCUAUUACUUCAGUGUCCAUUACCCCUGAAUGAUAUUAAUAAGCCAAGCUCUGACUGCCUCAUCAUCAGCCCUGUCUAAAAAGAAGAGCCAUCCACUUAUCUUAAUGAUACUGGACCUUCACACAGGUACAUUGUUGGUGGUCUUAGUGAAUUGUGUCUUCUGGGACCCCCCCUUGGAACAAAAUCUUGUGUGUUUUCUAGCCUCAUAUUAUCCAUUUCAGGAUGACUAUUUCUCUCAGCCUCUUUAUUCCUUAUCCUGCCCUUUACCAGAUCAGUGUGGACAUUUCAGUGUUGACCAUCUCUACUUUUAGGCUGCAUUAGUGGAUUUGCCCUAUCCCCUGGGGUUCUUUCUAGGAUGCUAUCUUAAUCCAUUGGUGUGGCUACAACAAAUUAUCUGAGACUAGGUAAUUGAUAAAGAACAGAAAUUGAUUUCUCCCAUUUCAGGAGGUUAGAAAUUCAAGGUCAAAGUACCAGUGUUCAGAGGGGCAAACUCUGUGUCCUCACAUGACAGAAGGGUUAGAAGGGCAAAGGGGACAUAGCUAGUUCUCUAUAGCUCUUUGAAUGGUUAUGGUCCCAUUCAUGAGGGUUCCAACCUCAUGGCUUAAUCAACUCCUAAGCACACCUCUUCUUAAUACUAUCACAUUGGCAGUAGAGUUUUGACAGUGAAUUUUGAGGGGCAUUCAAGGCUACCACAGAUUUGAAAAUACUAUGUCCUGAUAAAGUUCCUCUAAAUAAACAAAUGCUUGGUUUCCUAGUCUUGUUCUGGCCCCUUAGUUAAAGGAAUGUUAAAAUUCAUUUCUCCACCAACUUCAUGCUGAUUUUAACUAUAAUUAUCUUCCUAGCAGCUAGGAAAGAAUAAAGGCAACUUAGGAGCACACGCCUACCUAUUGCCUUGCUGAGAAUGGGCCUUUCUGGCAUCUUCCAUGAGAGGAGGAGCAUAACAUUCCACAAAGUACUGCCCAGACACAUGACUUCAUUGGUAAGCUCUUCCCACAUUUAAGCAGGAAAAAAAUAUCAAGCUUAAUGAUUUUUAAACCUAAUAAGAAAACAUAAAACACUUCUCAGCUUAUUAUAGAAGACAAGCAUAACUUUGAUACCCAAAUCUGACAGACACAUUGCAAAAAAGAAAAUUGUAAAUGGAACCAAUGUGCAAGGAUUGGCAAAUGAGACUCAAAAGCUCACAAGAAUAAUGGAUUUUAUUCAUUAUAAGGUUACACUCAUCUUAAGAUUAUGUAAGUCAUGCAGCACACUCAAAGCAGACAGAGGUCUUGAAUAGUGUCCUGGACUCCAAGAUGGUUCCUUCUUGAAUUGGAUAAACUUUUUAGCCAAAAUGUAGUGAUAUGAGCCUCAUGACCAUUCUUAAUAUACAGCAUGUUAGGUUAGGAUGUUUAUCUUUCUCAUAUCCAGGUGUUAAUGUAACUUAUACAAUAUUUUCUUGAGAACCAUGUUUUGUAAGUUUAUAUACAGUUUGGUUUUCUUUUUCACAAUCAGUCAUAUAUCAGGGAUAUCCUGUGAAAAUGAUUUAUAGAUAAAAUUUUACCUCCUAGUAAUUAAUAUUACAUUAUUUGAAUGAAAUAUAUUAUCAAUAUGUGUACAAGAAGAUUCACCUACAUUGCCUACUUUUUUUCUUUCCUGAAACAUCUCCCAAGAUGUCUCUCAGAGAGAAAUUAAUCAGAGGCUAGCUGAUUAACUCUUUUUCUACUCAGAAGCCAAUAAAGAUCACAAAUCUUGAUGCUCAGAUAUUAAACAAAAUAUUAUCAAAUGAAAUAUGCAAUAAAGAGACUAAUACAUCAUGAAUCUGGUUCAACAUUUGAAAAUUAAUUCACAUAUAACAGAAUAAAUAAGAAAAAAAAUAUAAUAACAUCAGUAGAUGCAGAGAAAGCCAAUAAGUCAACAAUCAUUAACAAUACAAAUUAUCAGCAAACUAGAAACGGAAAGGAAGCUUUCUAACCUGAUUAGGUUAAUAAUCUAUUAAAAAUCUACAGAUAGCCAGGCACAGAGGCACAUGCCUAUAAUCAGAGCAACAUAGUAGGCUGUCAGGAGAAUCACAAGUUUGAAGCUAACCUGGACAAUUUAGCAAGACUGUGUCUCAAAAUACAAGUGCCUGGGGGUAUGGCUCAGUGGUAAAAGCACCUAUGGGUGCAUUCCCAAUACCACAAAAAUAAAGGUAAAAUAAGUAAUCUUCCCCCCAACCUCACAUUGAGAUUUAAGAUGAAUAUGUUCACUUUUAGCAACUCCGUUCUGCAUUUCACUUUAUUUCCUAGCCAGGCAAAGAAGAAGUGGGAUAAGAGAAAAAGCAGGAAUUAAUAUUGGGAAAGAAAUAAUGAAAUGUAUCACUGACUACAUGAUUGUGAAUGUAGAAACUCCAAAAUAUUCUCCAAACCAUAAGAAUGAUUGUAUAAAUUUAGCAAGGUCAAAAUAUCAUGUUAUUGCACAUCCUUACAUUGGAUCAACUGAACAAAUUCAAAUAUUUAAUAUUUGCAAUAGUAUCAAAAGCCACAAAUACCUAAGAGUAAACAUUGUAAGAUUUACGGGUUUUCUUCUUUUUUUAUCUUUUAUUGAUUUAAUGUUUUUAAAAUACAUGACAGCAGUGUAAUGUAUUACAAUUCUUAUUACACAUAUAGAGCACAGUUUUUUGUAUCUCUGUAUAUGUUUGUGUCAAUUUAUGCCUUUUUACAUGUAUUUUGGGUUUUUUUGCAAUACAAUUCUUAAUAAAAAUAUACCACAA